rnacentral:rRNA from 1 species
GAAGGGUGCAAGCGUUACUCGGAAUUACUGGGCGUAAAGCGUGCGUAGGUGGUUUGUUAAGUCUGUCGUGAAAUCCCCGGGCUCAACCUGGAAAAGUCGGAGGGGACUGCUGGGCUAGAGGACGGGAGAGGAGCGCGGAAUUCCCGGUGUAGCGGUGAAAUGCGUAGAGAUCGGGAGGAAGGCCGGUGGCGAAGGCGGCGCUCUGGAACGUUUCUGACGCUGAGGCUCGAAAGCGUGGGGAGCAAACAGGAUUAGAUACCCUGGUAGUCCACGCCUUAAACUAUGAAUACUAAGUGUCGGCGGGUUACCGCCGGUGCCGCAGCUAACGCAUUAAGUAUUCCGCCUGGGAGGUACGGCCGCAAGGUUG